rnacentral:rRNA from 1 species
CCAGCCCGCUCAGAAACUUAAAGGAAGUUGACGGGGGCCCCGCACAAGCGGUGGAGCAUGUGGUUUAAUCGAUGAUACGCGAGGAACCUUACCUGGGCUCAAAUGUAUGUUGACGUAUUCUGAAAGGGAUACUUCUUCGGACAAUAUACAAGGUGCUGCAUGGUUGUCGUCAGCUCGUGCCGUGAGGUGUCGGGUUAAGUCCCAUAACGAGCGCAACCCCUAUCAUUAGUUGCCAUCAGGUCAAGCUGGGGACUCUAAUGAAACUGCCUACGCAAGUAGUGAGGAAGGUGGGGAUGACGUCAAAUCAGCACGGCCCUUACGUCCAGGGCUACACACGUGCUACAAUGGCCGGUACAAAGGGCAGCUACCUGGUGACAGGAUGCUAAUCUCAAAAGCCGGUCUCAGUUCGGAUCGGAGUCUGCAACCCGACUCCGUGAAGCUGGAAUCGCUAGUAAUCGCGCAUCAGCCAUGGCGCGGUGAAUACGUUCCCGGGCCUU